rnacentral:rRNA from 1 species
GUGAGGAAUCUUCCACAAUGGGCGAAAGCCUGAUGGAGCAACGCCGCGUGAAGGAUGAAGGUCUUCGGAUUGUAAACUUCUUUUAUGAGUGAAGAAUAUGACGGUAACUCAUGAAUAAGCACCGGCUAACUACGUGCCAGCAGCCGCGGUCAUACGUAGGGUGCAAGCAUUAUCCGGAGUGACUGGGCGUAAAGAGUUGCGUAGGCGGUUAUGUAAGCGAAUAGUGAAACCUGGUGGCUUAACCACACAGACUAUUAUUCGAACUGCAUAACUCGAGAAUGGUAGAGGUAACUGGAAUUUCUUGUGUAGGAGUGAAAUCCGUAGAUAUAAGAAGGAACACCAAUGGCGUAGGCAGGUUACUGGGCCAUUUCUGACGCUAAGGCACGAAAGCGUGGGGAGCGAACCGGAUUAGAUACCCUUGUAGUCC